ACUUACAACUUGGAAACAGAAGAUUAGAAAGCCUGGAGGUAGGAAAAUCACUCUCAGAGCCAAGAGGGUCACCGAACCAAGACAAAGAACAAAGAACUCACACCCAAAACUUCCCUCCACCCAGAUUUGAAAAAUCUUGUUUCCUGAUUGGUCCUCUGGUCAGGUGUUGUUUGUUACCCCUUUCCAGGUGAAAGAGACAUUAACCCUUAGCUAUCUGUUUAUGACACGCUCCCCAAAUCGCAGACAGUGGGGAAUCUCACUGGCGGCGAUUUCUUCCUAGAACUCUAAAAUAAACAGAGUAAUACAACACAUGCACCUUUACA